AGUGAACGCUGGCGAUAGGCCUAACACAUGCAAGUCGAACGGCAGCACAGUAAGAGCUUGCUCUUACGGGUGGCGAGUGGCGGACGGGUGAGGAAUACAUCGGAAUCUACUUUUUCGUGGGGGAUAACGUAGGGAAACUUACGCUAAUACCGCAUACGACCUACGGGUGAAAGCAGGGGAUCUUCGGACCUUGCGCGAUUGAAUGAGCCGAUGUCGGAUUAGCUAGUUGGCGGGGUAAAGGCCCACCAAGGCGACGAUCCGUAGCUGGUCUGAGAGGAUGAUCAGCCACACUGGAACUGAGACACGGUCCAGGCUCCUACGAGAGGCAGCAGUGGGUAAUAUUGGACAAUGGGCGCUAGCCUGAUCCAGCCAGACCGCGUGGGUGAAGAAGGCCUUCGGGUUGUAAAGCCCUUUUGUUGGGAAAGAAAAGCAGCAGGUUAAUACCCCGCUGUUCUGACGGUACCCAAAGAAUAAGCACCGGCUAACAUCGU
rnacentral:rRNA from 1 species